ACGAACGCUGGCGGCGUGCUUAACACAUGCAAGUCGCACGGUGAAGCGAGUGCUUGCACUCGUGGAUCAGUGGCGAACGGGUGAGUAACACGUGAGUAACCUGCCCAUCACUCUGGGAUAAGCACUGGAAACGGUGUCUAAUACUGGAUACGACCAACCCUUGCAUGGGGUGUUGGUGGAAAGAUUUAUCGGUGAUGGAUGGACUCGCGGCCUAUCAGCUUGUUGGCGGGGUAAUGGCCCACCAAGGCGACGACGGGUAGCCGGCCUGAGAGGGUGACCGGCCACACUGGGACUGAGACACGGCCCAGACUCCUACGGGAGGCAGCAGUGGGGAAUAUUGCACAAUGGGCGAAAGCCUGAUGCAGCGACGCCGCGUGAGGGAUGACGGCCUUCGGGUUGUAAACCUCUUUCAGCAGGGAAGAAGCGAAAGUGACGGUACCUGCAGAAGAAGCACCGGCUAACUACGUG
rnacentral:rRNA from 1 species